GAAGGAGAGUGAAAUAGAACCUGAAACCGUGUGCUUACAAGUAGUCAGAGCCCGUUAAUGGGUGAUGGCGUGCCUUUUGUAGAAUGAACCGGCGAGUUACGAUUUGAUGCAAGGUUAAGCAGUAAAUGUGGAGCCGUAGCGAAAGCGAGUCUGAAUAGGGCGUUUAGUAUUUGGUCGUAGACCCGAAACCAGGUGAUCUACCCUUGGUCAGGUUGAAGUUCAGGUAACACUGAAUGGAGGACCGAACCGACUUACGUUGAAAAGUGAGCGGAUGAACUGAGGGUAGCGGAGAAAUUCCAAUCGAACCUGGAGAUAGCUGGUUCUCUCCGAAAUAGCUUUAGGGCUAGCCUCAAGUGAUGAUUAUUGGAGGUAGAGCACUGUUUGGACGAGGGGCCCCUCUCGGGUUACCGAAUUCAGACAAACUCCGAAUGCCAAUUAAUUUAACUUGGGAGUCAGAACAUGGGUGAUAAGGUCCGUGUUCGAAAGGGAAACAGCCCAGACCACCAGCUAAGGUCCCAAAAUAUAUGUUAAGUGGAAAAGGAUGUGGCGUUGCCCAGACAACUAGGAUGUUGGCUUAGAAGCAGCCAUCAUUUAAAGAGUGCGUAAUAGCUCACUAGUCGAGUGACACUGCGCCGAAAAUGUACCGGGGCUAAACAUAUUACCGAAGCUGUGGAUUGUCCUUUGGACAAUGGUAGGAGAGCGUUCUAAGGGCGUUGAAGCAUGAUCGUAAGGACAUGUGGAGCGCUUAGAAGUGAGAAUGCCGGUGUGAGUAGCGAAAGACGGGUGAGAAUCCCGUCCACCGAUUGACUAAGGUUUCCAGAGGAAGGCUCGUCCGCUCUGGGUUAGUCGGGUCCUAAGCUGAGGCCGACAGGCGUAGGCGAUGGAUAACAGGUUGAUAUUCCUGUACCACCUAUAAUCGUUUUAAUCGAUGGGGGGACGCAGUAGGAUAGGCGAAGCGUGCGAUUGGAUUGCACGUCUAAGCAGUAAGGCUGAGUAUUAGGCAAAUCCGGUACUCGUUAAGGCUGAGCUGUGAUGGGGAGAAGACAUUGUGUCUUCGAGUCGUUGAUUUCACACUGCCGAGAAAAGCCUCUAGAUAGAAAAUAGGUGCCCGUACCGCAAACCGACACAGGUAGUCAAGAUGAGAAUUCUAAGGUGAGCGAGCGAACUCUCGUUAAGGAACUCGGCAAAAUGACCCCGUAACUUCGGGAGAAGGGGUGCUCUUUAGGGUUAACGCCCAGAAGAGCCGCAGUGAAUAGGCCCAAGCGACUGUUUAUCAAAAACACAGGUCUCUGCUAAACCGUAAGGUGAUGUAUAGGGGCUGACGCCUGCCCGGUGCUGGAAGGUUAAGAGGAGUGGUUAGCUUCUGCGAAGCUACGAAUCGAAGCCCCAGUAAACGGCGGCCGUAACUAUAACGGUCCUAAGGUAGCGAAAUUCCUUGUCGGGUAAGUUCCGACCCGCACGAAAGGCGUAACGAUUUGGGCACUGUCUCAACGAGAGACUCGGUGAAAUCAUAGUACCUGUGAAGAUGCAGGUUACCCGCGACAGGACGGAAAGACCCCGUGGAGCUUUACUGUAGCCUGAUAUUGAAAUUCGGCACAGCUUGUACAGGAUAGGUAGGAGCCUUUGAAACGUGAGCGCUAGCUUACGUGGAGGCGCUGGUGGGAUACUACCCUAGCUGUGUUGGCUUUCUAACCCGCACCACUUAUCGUGGUGGGAGACAGUGUCAGGCGGGCAGUUUGACUGGGGCGGUCGCCUCCUAAAAGGUAACGGAGGCGCUCAAAGGUUCCCUCAGAAUGGUUGGAAAUCAUUCAUAGAGUGUAAAGGCAUAAGGGAGCUUGACUGCGAGACCUACAAGUCGAGCAGGGUCGAAAGACGGACUUAGUGAUCCGGUGGUUCCGCAUGGAAGGGCCAUCGCUCAACGGAUAAAAGCUACCCCGGGGAUAACAGGCUUAUCUCCCCCAAGAGUUCACAUCGACGGGGAGGUUUGGCACCUCGAUGUCGGCUCAUCGCAUCCUGGGGCUGUAGUCGGUCCCAAGGGUUGGGCUGUUCGCCCAUUAAAGCGGUACGCGAGCUGGGUUCAGAACGUCGUGAGACAGUUCGGUCCCUAUCCGUCGUGGGCGUAGGAAAUUUGAGAGGAGCUGUCCUUAGUACGAGAGGACCGGGAUGGACAUACCUCUGGUGUACCAGUUGUCGUGCCAACGGCAUAGCUGGGUAGCUAUGUGUGGACGGGAUAAGUGCUGAAAGCAUCUAAGCAUGAAGCCCCCCUCAAGAUGAGAUUUCCCAACUUCGGUUAUAAGAUCCCUCAAAGAUGAUGAGGUUAAUAGGUUCGAGGUGGAAGCAUGGUGACAUGUGGAGCUGACGAAUACUAAUCGAUCGAAGACUUAAUCAA
rnacentral:rRNA from 1 species